AGCGGGGCUGGGAGGAUGGAUGGAGGGAUGGGGGGAGAUACCGGGAUGGAAAAGGGAGGCAUGGGGGGGAGGUGGAGGAAUGGGAGAUGGAGGAAUGGGAGGAAGAUAUAGGGAUGGAAGAUGGAGGUAUGGGAGGGAGACGGAUGGGGGAGAUGGAAGGAUGGAAAAUGGAAGGAUGGGGGAGAGAGAUAGGGAUGGAAGAUGGAGGGAUGGGAGGGAGAUAGAGGGGUGGAAGAUAAAGGGAUGAAAAAUGGAGGGAUGGGAGGGAGACAGAGUGACAGCAGAGAUGGAAGGAUGGAAGAUGAAGGGAUGGGAGGGAGAUGGAUGGGGAGAUGCAGGGAUUGCAGAGAUGGAUGGAUGGGAGAGAGGUAUAGGAAUGGAAGAUGGAGGGAUUUAAGACAGGGAUGGGAGGAAGAUGAAAGGACAGAAAGUGGAGGGAUGGGAGGAAAAUGAAGGGAUGGCAGAGAUGGAGGGCUGGAAAAUAAAGGCAUGGGAGGGAGAUGGAGAGAAGCGCUGUGUGGGAGAGAGGGGAAAGGAUGGAGGUCCUGGUCCCAGGGCAACAGGGCAGAUAGAGGCCAAGCGGGGCUUGGGCCCCCUACGACAGCCUGGGGGUGGAGGGAAGGGGCUGGAGUGGGAGUGGUGGCCGGGGUGGCCCUCGCUCUGUCCCCCAGCAAGGCCAGGGUGUGAGGGCUGGGUUCGCCUGCUGUGCCGGGAGGAGAGGAGCUCUGCACUGGCUGACACAGGUUUAAGAUUUGCAGAAGACCCACGCUGAGAGACAUGGCAGCAAUCCCGCUGAGCGGCUCACUCAUGGCCACGCACAACUACUACAGAAGUAAGAGCGACCGCUCUGGGUCCGGGGGGGGAUGCAGAGCCGGUGCCAUGCAGAGAAGGGGGCAGUUUGCUCUGCCGGGCUCCUUCGAGACGCUGCUGCUGCAAAGAUGAGACUGAACUCAGAUUUGUGCUUUCAGCCCUGCGAGGGCUUUGCUCUCUGUCAGGUGGACGUGGGUCUUGCAGCAAAGUCCUUUGCUUCUUGUUGAGGUUGGAGGUGUGGGGAGGGGACAGCUGAGAACGCAGCUAUUGCUGGGGAAAUGAGGUCUCCCGAGAAGCUGCAGAACCAGUCUGGGGAACAGCAGCUACUGGUGCCUCUCCAGGGGAGAGACUUUCUGGUUUAAUAAGUUGCCUAACCAGAAGGAGGUAAAAUACUCCCCUUGAGCUGGAACUGGUAACAGGCUUUUGGCAGUCAGACUAAAACUGCGUGGAUUAUGCGCAGAUUAUAUGCGGGAAUUUGCAUCCUCUUGGCCUUGGGGCAUUGGUAGCAGCUUCAAGUGCUGCAUGCAAGUGCAAGGCCAUUAAAUAACGUCCUUGGAGUGGAAGUUUUUUUUUUCUGCACUGGUGCUUUUCUGGUAUCUGACACUGGCCAGCUUCUAAUCUCACCAGUGUUUCCUUGCUAGUGUUUUUUUGGCUUGGUGUUAAAGCUAGGCAAGUACUGGAGCGAGGUAGAGCUGGUGAUGGGAGUAAGUCAUGCAUGCGGGGCAGCCAGAGCAUGCCAGGCGUCGGGUCGGGUCUCGUGGCGUGGCAGCGGCGGGACGUGCCCAGGGCUGGGGAGGGAUGGCUCUGAUGGCCCCAAUCUCGUCCCCAGGGCGCGUGAGUUCAACAUCGAGCAACAGCUCCUGCGGCAGCUCGGACUACGCUGGGGAGGUCAUCCCGCACCCCCCGGGUAAGUGCCGUCCGGCGCC
rnacentral:lncRNA from 1 species